UCUGCACCUGAAAGCAGCAAGUAUGCCUGCUGUGUUUCAUGCAUGCUAGUAGUUGUCAACAAAAAGAGAAGCUAAGUCUAGAGUCAGUGUUUUAACCUAUAAACAUCUGAAUGGUUAGCAGUCCAAUAUU